rnacentral:rRNA from 1 species
UACGAAGGGUGCAAGCGUUACUCGGAAUUACUGGGCGUAAAGGGUGCGUAGGCGGUCGGCUAUGUCGGAUGUGAAAGCCUCGGGCUUAACCCGAGAAGGGCAUCCGAAACUGGCUGGCUUGAGUACGGAAGAGGGUCUCGGAAUUCCCGGUGUAGAGGUGAAAUUCGUAGAUAUCGGGAGGAACACCAGUGGCGAAGGCGGAGACCUGGGCCGAUACUGACGCUGAGGUGCGAAAAGCGUGGGGGAGCAAACAGG